CUUAGAUUCUUACUCCCUUCUCCAGUUUCAUUCAGCAGUGGCUUUAUAGUUUCUAGAACGCUUCUUUUGUACAAAGACCUUUGUAAAACCUUUCUUUCUCCAGUCCUCUUGACUACAAGUUGAUCAUCCUGCCGCACACGAGCGUGGCACUGCUGCAGGAGGAAGCCCGAGCCAGCCUCUGUUCACAGCUCCCUGCUGCUCCACAGCAGGAGCUCCAGCGGCCAAAACACCACCAUCAACACAGUCCUGCAAGCGUUGGGCACCUGAGGAACCAGCUAAGGACCUCCUGUGUGCACGCAUGGAGGACUUCUCCUAUGCUCAUCCCCACGUCACCCGACCCAGUGCUGAAGGGCAGAGGGCGCGCCCCCAGGAGCAGCGAUGCUGCACACCCCCGGCUCUGCGGCAGCGAGUGAAGUUACAGCCCAGUCCUAUGUUUCAGGAUUCGUUGUGGUUUGAGGGUUUGGGGUCAGUGUUCUGUGAGCAGAGUAAAGCACAGAACCUGUACUAAUAGUCACAGAGCUAAGGAAAGACACCAGGAAAGAACAACAACUGUUAUGACACACAGAAUAAAUAUAUACAGGAAGCACCACACGCCCUUCUCUGUAAAGUGAAUUUCACUAGUCAGUACAUUCACAGACACAGACAGGCUUGCUCCUGAUAAAAACAGGUAAUCUAUAAGGUCUUUUUAUAUUUUAAUAAUUCUGCAUCUAUCUAUGGAAAAGUAAACAAAAUAAAUGUAAUUUGAAUUGAAUACUGUGCAUCCAGAAAGACUGGCUGUCAAAUACCCCUUAGAUUUAUAGAGAGCUUUUGCUAAAACAAAUGGAAAAAUAUAUGUAGCAUUUCUAAAUUAAGUUUCUCAAAUUACCUUUCCUGCCAAUUUAUGUCAGGUAUAGUAAGCUGUUUUACAAGAGAAAACUCAGUACCAGCAAAGACUUCUUUUUUUUUAAUCCUCUAUAUCCCAGUCUGCAAAUUCCAGACCAGUGUUUGCUACCAAAUAUUGCUCGUUUACCUGUACUCAAUAACACUAACAAUAACCAUAAAAAAUAUUAUAUUUUCUACUGUAUCUUUAUGGAAGUCUAGCCCAAAACCUUGGCUGAAGCACACGAGGAAGUUGUUGAAGAGCUAUGGAGUUUUGUACAACUCCCUCAGCAGAGACAAGUAAAGACCCAUUCCAUGUACCUAAGCAAGUUUGUGGGUUCUGAAAUGCAACACUCUUACCUACCCAAUGAAAAUAACGUUAUAAAGAGGAACCAUAGCCACAGUCCAACUUGCCAGCUACUCCCAAAUUCCUGGAAGACUUGAUCAUCACCUACUGUUACAUGUUUUUGUUCCUCUGAAUUCAGUAGAGCUAUACUAGUUCACAGCAGGUGAGAAUCUGCCUGGGAUUUAUUUACCUAUCAGUUACUAACUCUGCUCUCAUACGGAUAAAAUGUUUAUGAAAAAGCAUGGCGGUACUAAAAUGAAGAAUGGGGGCCCCUUUCUGUGUUGGAUGAAUCAUCUGAAUGAGUUAGAGAUACGUACGGUGAUACAGUAAGUAAAGCAUCCUCCUCCUCAAAAACCAACAACAAAAUCACCACCAUCUUUUUCCCAUUCUAAAAAGGGUAGCAAAUAUUCAAUUAGACAAAUCCAAGUAUAUUUUAAGUUAGAGAUUUUCAUGCUUGGACAAAUAACUACCCCAAAUUGCAGUACCUUCCCCUGGCACUUUUGAACUGCGUUGACAGUCAUCUACAAAUACACGGUCAACCAGCAGAACAGAAAGCGUUUAGAUCACAAGUCGGCAGUUCUGGGAAUUCCCUGUCAUUUGAUGAAUACCAAUGACUGACCACAAUGCUGAGAAAAUGGUAACACCCGUUAAAGUAAAUGUGAAGUGAUGGCUGCAGCCCACAUAACAAGAAGUCAGUGGCAUGCAGAAUCUCCUCCAGACACUGGGGCACCGCAUGAUGGUCACUGAAGAAGCGCAAGACAUUUCAUGGGAUCCCAUAAAAAUACAUGAGAAAUAUUUGAAGAAAAAUAAUUAUGAAAAAAAUCUCCC